rnacentral:tRNA from 1 species
UUAAUUGAAGCCAAAAAGAGGCAUAUUACUGUUAAUAAUAUCACUGAAUUUAUUCCAAUUGA